GGCUAACGCUGGCGGCGUGUCUUAGCCAUGCAAGUCGAGCGGACUUAUGGGGUAACUUAUAAGUCAGCGGCGGACGGCGGAGUAACACGUAGCUAACCUACCCUCUGGACGGGGAUAACCUACCGAAAGGUGGGCUAAUACCCGAUGUAGUCAUCCUGUAUAGGGGUGAUGAAAGGUGGGCUUCUGUUUACAAGCUCAUGCUGGAGGAGGGGGCUGCGGCCUAUCAGGUAGUUGGUAGGGUAAUAGCCUACCAAGCCGAUGACGGGUAGCCGGCCUGAGAGGGUGACCGGCCCGAGGGGCACUGAGAUACGGGUCCCACUCCUACGGGAGGCAGCAGGCUAGAAAUUUGGGCAAUGGGGGAAACCCUGACCCAGUGACGCCGCGUGCAGGAAGGAGCCCUUCGGGGUGUAAACUGCUGUCGUGUAGGGAGAAGGGUACUAAGGUGAACAAUCUUAGUACUUGACGGUACUACAGGAGGAAGCCCAGGCUAACCUCGUGCCAGCAGCCGCGGUAAACCACGAGAGUA
rnacentral:rRNA from 1 species